UACGACUACAUAUCAGGCAUAUCAAUAAGCGGAGGAAAAGGGGGCUAUUACCUACGCUUAGGAUGUUGACGAGACUGUCGAUCUCAUCUAUACAUGACUCUGUGCAUAUCAAUAAGCGGAGGAAAAGAGGGUUAUUACCUACGCUUAGGAUGUUGACACACGCGCGUGCUCGACUCUAUACAUGACUCUAUGCAUAUCAAUAAGCGGAGGAAAAGAGGGCUAUUACCUACGCUUAGGAUGUUGACGAGACUGUCGAUCUCAUCUAUACAUGACUCUGUGCAUAUCAAUAAGCGGAGGAAAAGAGUGGUACCUACGCUUAGGAUGUUGACACACGCGCGUGCUCGGCUCUACACAUGACUCUGUGCAUAUCAAUAAGCGGAGGAAAAGUACCUACGCUUAGGAUGUUGACGAGACUGUCGAUCUCAUCUAUACAUGACUCUGUGCAUAUCAAUAAGCGGAGGAAAAGGCUGCGGAACUGAGCGACCGCUACCUACGCUUAGGAUGUUGAUGAGACUGUCGAUCUCAUCUAUACAUGACUCUGUGCAUAUCAAUAAGCGGAGGAAAAGUACCUACGCUUAGGAUGUUGACGAGACUGUCGAUCUCAUCAAUACAUGACUCUGUGCAUAUCAAUAAGCGGAGGAAAAGCUUGCCGACCGCGUGACGACGCUGUUUCCCAACGUGAUCGUGAUCCUGAACCUCUGCGGCGUUACCGACCUCACCCGUUUCGCGGGUGAAGACGCCGAUUAUCCCGCCUCCGCGAUGCUUUCGAUGUGGAUGCCGGGACAACGCGGCGCGUCGGCACUGCCGAAGGUGCUGACCGGAGAGAUCAAUCCCUCCGGAAAGCUGACCGAUACCUACGCUUAGGAUGUUGAGUAGCGACAUACGCAC
rnacentral:rRNA from 1 species